GCGGGGGAGGACGGGAGGGGAGGAGGGCGUGGUUUUAUGCAGCUCCUCACUCCUCUCCUCCCGUCUUCUUCUUCU
rfam:Equus caballus chromosome 12, whole genome shotgun sequence.